rnacentral:tRNA from 1 species
UCCCAUGUGGUCUAGUGGUUAGGAUACCUGGCUUUCACCCAGGCGGCCCGGGUUCGAUUCCCGGCAUGGGAA